AACGCAAAUUCACAGCCAUUUGCAACACACAAAGCAUCUCCUCGAGGUCGAACCCCUCCGGGGCGUUCUUGGCCCAUGACAAGUGUGAUAUGUGUUGCCUUUAUAAGUUAAUACUUGGACUGGAGACUAAAGUUAUUGAUCUUGGGUGCAACGUUCCAUGUGUUGUCUGUCCUUGUGACAGGCCUAAGGGUUUACCUUCGUGUGCCCGUAUGGGGAUCGCUGCAAUGAUCAAUAAUACAGAU
rnacentral:snoRNA from 1 species